rnacentral:pre_miRNA from 14 species
CGCUAGGUCCAGCACCGUGGUGCCCCAAGAUAUUGAAAGAUCCCUGAAGGGAGACCCUUUCUCAAGUCUUGAGAAAUAGUGGACCCCAAACACAAAGAGACCA